rnacentral:rRNA from 1 species
UACGUAGGGGGCAAGCGUUGUCCGGAUUUAUUGGGCGUAAAGCGCUCGCAGGUGGUUCGAUGCGUCGUGCGUGAAAGCCCCCGGCUCAACUGGGGAGUGUCGUGCGAUACGGUCGAACUGGAGGCCAGUAGGGGGAUGCGGAAUUCCGGGUGUAGUGGUGGAAUGCGUAGAGAUCCGGAGGAACACCAGCGGCGAAGGCGGCAUCCUGGACUGGUCCUGACACUCAUGAGCGAAAGCGUGGGGAGCGAGCCGG